GGAGAGGUGCCGGAGCGGCCGAACGGGCACGAUUGGAAAUCGUGUAGGGUGGGAAACCGCCCUCGAGGGUUCGAAUCCCUCCCUCUCCG
rnacentral:tRNA from 3 species